rnacentral:rRNA from 1 species
UACGUAGGGUGCGAGCGUUGUCCGGAAUUAUUGGGCGUAAAGGGCUCGUAGGCGGUUUGUCGCGUCGGGAGUGAAAACCCAGGGCUUAACCCUGGGCUGGCUUCCGAUACGGGCAGACUAGAGGUAUGCAGGGGAGAACGGAAUUCCUGGUGUAGCGGUGAAAUGCGCAGAUAUCAGGAGGAACACCGGUGGCGAAGGCGGGUCUCUGGGCCGGCAUUGACGCUGAGGAGCGAAAGCCAGGGGAGCAAACGGG